AAGCUAAACCCCAGCUACGUCAAAGAAUAUCGACCCAUUGCCUGCUGUUCAACUCUUUAUAAAAUCAUAUCUAAGAUACUAACAAACAUGCUAAAACUGGUUGUCGAUUAUUUAGUUGGGCAAUCCCAAUCGGCCUUCAUAGAGGGAAGAAACAUACUGGAUAAUGUUAUUAUGGCUCAUGAGUUAAUCAAAGGCUAUAAUCGCAAGACAAUAUCCCCGCAAUCCCAAUCGGCCUACAUAGAGGGAAGAAACAUACUGAAUAAUAUGGCACAUGAGCUAAUCAAAGGCUAUAAUCGCAAGACAAUAUCCCCUAGAUGCCUGAUAA
rnacentral:lncRNA from 1 species